rnacentral:siRNA from 1 species
AAUAUAUUUCAUGUCUUCGACUAU